rnacentral:rRNA from 1 species
AGCAGCCGCGGUAAUUCCAGCUCCAAUAGCGUAUAUUAAAGUUGUUGCAGUUAAAAAGCUUGUAGUUGAAUUUCGGGAUUAGUAGGUUGGUCGUGCCUCUGGUAUGUACUCGCCUUACUGAUUCCUCCUUCUUGAAGAACUGUAAUGCCAUUAAUUUGGUGUUGCAGGGAAACAGGACUGUUACUUUGAAAAAAUUAGAGUGUUUAAAGCAGGCCAUUGCCUGAAUACAUUAGCAUGGAAUAAUGAAAUAGGACGUUGAUCCUAUUUUGUUGGUUUCUAGGAUUGACGUAAUGAUUAAUAGGGAUAGUUGGGGGCAUUAGUAUUCAAUUGUCAGAGGUGAAAUUCUUGGAUUUAUUGAAGACUAACUACUGCGAAAGCAUUUGCCAAGGAUGUUUUCAUUAAUCAAGAACGAAAGUUAGGGGAUCGAAGACGAUCAGAUACCGUCGUAGUCUUAACCAUAAACUAUGCCGACUAGGGAUCGGAUGAUGUUAAUUUUUAAUGACUCAUUCGGCGCCUUAAC